AGAGUUUGAUCCUGGCUCAGGAUGAACGCUAGCUACAGGCUUAACACAUGCAAGUCGAGGGGAAACGACAUCGAAAGCUUGCUUUUGAUGGGCGUCGACCGGCGCACGGGCGAGUAACGCGUAUCCAACCUGCCCACCACUUGGGGAUAACCUUGCGAAAGUAAGACUAAUACCCAAUGACGUCUCUAGAAGACAUCUGAAGGAGAUUAAAGAUUUAUCGGUGAUGGAUGGGGAUGCGUCUGAUUAGCUUGUUGGCGGGGUAACGGCCACCAAGGCGACGAUCAGUAGGGGUCUGAGAGGAAGGUCCCCCACAUUGGAACUGAGACACGGUCCAAACUCCUACGGGAAGCA
rnacentral:rRNA from 1 species